CCUACGGGAGGCUGCAGUGGGGAAUAUUGGGCAAUGGGCGCAAGCCUGACCCAGCAACGCCGCGUGAAGGAAGAAGGCCCUCGGGUUGUAAACUUCUUUUGUCAGGGACGAAACAAAUGACGGUACCUGACGAAUAAGCUACGGCUAACUACGUGCCAGCAGCCGCGGUAAUACGUAGGUGGCAAGCGUUAUCCGGAUUUACUGGGUGUAAAGGGCGUGUAGGCGGGAGAGCAAGUCAGAUGUGAAAUUCCAGGGCUCAACCCUGGAACUGCAUUUGAAACUGUUUUUCUUGAGUGAUGGAGAGGCAGGCGGAAUUCCGUGUGUAGCGGUGAAAUGCGUAGAUAUGCGGAGGAAAACCAGUGGCGAAGGCGGCCUGCUGG
rnacentral:rRNA from 1 species